rnacentral:rRNA from 1 species
GGUGAACGCUGGCGGCGUGCUUAAGACAUGCAAGUCAAACGGGCUCUUCGGAGCUAGUGGCGCACGGGUGAGUAACGCGUAACUGACCUACCCCAAAGUCGCGGAUAACGAUUCGAAAGAAUCGCUAAUACGUGAUGUGCUGUCAGAUCCUGUUCUGCCAGUAAAGAUUUAUUGCUUUGGGAUGGGGUUGCGUUCCAUCAGCUAGUUGGUGGGGUAAAGGCCCACCAAGGCGACGACGGAUAGCCGGCCUGAGAGGGUGGCCGGCCACAGGGGCACUGAGACACGGGUCCCACUCCUACGGGAGGCAGCAGUUAGGAAUCCUCCACAAUGGGCGAAAGCCUGAUGGAGCGACGCCGCGUGAGGGAUGAAGGUCUUCGGAUCGUAAACCUCUGAAUCAGGGACGAAAGACACUUCGGUGGGAUGACGGUACCUGAGUAAUAGCACCGGCUAACUCCGUGCCAGCAGCCGCGGUAAUAC